AAAAUGUUCAAAAUGUGAAUUUUGCAUAAUAAGUCUCUUUUAAGUUUGAGUUUCAUCCCUUUAAGGUUUUGGACUUGUCUCCAAAGUAAGAGCAUUGAACCACUGAGAGUCUUGUCAGCCUCAGCCAGCAUUGUCUCAGUUUUAUGGAAACGAUACUUCAUGCCGUCCACCGUUCUCCUGGUAUUUUGGCUGAUUUCUUUUAAUUUUUCCUGUUAUGUCACAAAAGGAAGCAGCGAGUUUGAGGCAUUUCCUUAUAUUGUAUCUGCAGAAACCUGGUCAAGGCUGAACUUGCAGACCUGAGAGUUGGCUUUGCAGCAGAAUGGUUAUCAGUGUGAUCCUGCCAUGUGCAGCGCAAACAGGACCAGAUGAGGUUAUGUAAGAGGAAAAUCAGGGAGGGCGUGGAGUCCAGCCGGAGCUGCUUACAGCCUGACACAGCGUAUCUCUGAGAGCGAACAAUCCUCUCAGCCGUGCAGCCUCUGCACACUUAAACCAGCCGCUGUGUUCAGCUAAUGCAGGUCAGCACAACCUCCAGCCGUGCAUACGCGAAACAAGAAGAUGCGUUUCAAGCAGCGGUGGGUAGAGUACCCAAAAAUUUA